GUAAAACGUUCCGAACGGGAUAGCCGCUGCAUCUGGUAGGGGUCGUUUCAGGCACGCUUUCAAAGCGACGCAUGCGUCCAGCGAGUAAGGGGGAUGUCCGGGGUGAGCCGUCGUAUUCUGCCAACCCGACGUAUCGCAGUUUCUACCUUGAUGUUUGUCCGCGUGGUACUACUCCCAGGGACCUGUCGCGAUAUGCAUCUCCCAUGGUCCAACAAGCCGGCCACGAGGAUGUUUAAUAAAUCACGAAAGUAACGAUAAUUGAUAUAACCGGUCGUCAAAUGCCGUGAAAUUAAUUUGAUAGAGAAAGAGACGCGAAGAGUGGAAGCAGGAGUCAAGGAACUAAUAGAAAGAGAGAUAAAGAGAAAAUGCUUCUUCCCCUUCGAGCUUUUUCUCAGAGCUUUCGUUGUUCUCGCCGGGCGAAUCGAAAUAAAAAAUAAAAUAAAAUAAAAUAAAAUAAAAAAAGAAAUAAAAAGAAAUAAAAAAAUAAAAAAAAAAAAAAUAAAAAGAGAACUAUAAGAAAAAAAGAGGAGAAAAAACUCGGACCGUUCGUCGUCCAACCGCGAAACUCAGAGGGCACCUGGGAGUACGUUAGACGUCUGCGUAGAAACGAAAUGGAGAUAUAUAUAUAUAUAUAUAUAUAGAGAGAGAGAGAGAGAGAGAGAGGGAGAGAGAGAGAAAGAGGGAGGGAAGGGAGAGAGAGAGAGAGAGCGGGAAAAAGAAAAAAAAAAUAGAAAGAGAACAAAUUCGAAAAGAGAGAAAGACAGGCAUACACAUACUGGUUGGGGACCAUUUUUCUGUGAGAGAUAUACGAUCGGGAGGAAUCGACGUGGAAGAGAAGAUUUCGAUAGGACAUUCACGUCUCGUUGAAGAUCCUUAACGACGUGGAUAAAGAGAGAAACGAAUCAAUGGGUCGCAGGAAAUUAGAAGAAAAACGUCUACGAUAGAACGUGAAGGAGAAAGAGAAAGAGAUAGGGUGAAAAAGAGAGAGAGAGAGAGAGAGAGAGAGAGAGAGAAAGAGUGAGAGUGAGAAUCGUGCGGAAGCUUCGAUUAGGUUCAAUUAGGUGACAGGGAUGGUCGACGUACGUUCAGGAAUUCACGAAGGGUCAGGGUGAUGGAAGAAA